AGACGUCUACAUUAGAUACCCCCGUAGUCCUAGCCGUAAACGAUACUCGCUAGGUGUCGGCCACGGUGCGACCGUUGUCGGUACCGUAGGGAAGCCGUGAAGCGAGCCACCUGGGAAGUACGGCCGCAAGGCUGAAACUUAAAGGAAUUGGCGGGGGAGCACCACAACGGGUGGAGCUUGCGGUUUAAUUGGAUUCAACGCCGGAAAUCUUACCGGGACCGACAGCAACAUGAAGGCCAGGCUGAAGACUUUGCCGGAUUAGCUG
rnacentral:rRNA from 1 species